ACGCUGCGGUGCGCUUAGCUGCAGUCAAGCGAGCUUUCAGUAGUUUACUACAGAAAAUGACUGAGCGGCGAACGGGUGAGUAACGCGUGAGCAAUCUACCUUAGUUACAGGGAUAGCCCGAGGAAACUCGGAUUAAUACCUGAUAUUCUUUAUUUCUCGCAUGAGAAUAAAAGGAAAGGUCAGCCGAACUAAGAUGAGCUCGCGUUCUAUCAGCUAGUUGGUGAGGUAAAAGCUUACCAAGGCUACGACGGAUAGCUGGUCUGAGAGGACGAUCAGCCACACUGGGACUGAGACACGGCCCAGACUCCUACGGGAGGCUGCAGCAGGGAAUAUUGUGCAAUGAACGAAAGUUUGACACAGCGACACCGCGUGUGGGAUGACGGAUCUAGGUUUGUAAACCACUUUCAGGAGGGAAGAAAAUGACGGUACCUCCACAAGAAGCCCCGGCCAACUACGUGCCAGCAGCCGCGGUAAUACGUAGGGGGCGAGCGUUGUCCGGAUUUUAUUGGGCGUCAAGAGCUCGUAGGCGGUUCAACAAGUCGGUAGUAACAGUUCAGGGCUCAACCCUGAAAUGUCUAUCGAUACUGUUGUGACUAGGAUACGGCAGAGGUGAGUGGAAUUCCGAGUGUAGCGGUGAAAUGCGUAGAUAUACGGAGGAACACAAUUGCGAAGGCAGCUCACUGGGCCGUAUCGACGCUAGGAGCGAAGCUAGGGAGCAACAGGAUAAUACCGGUAGUC
rnacentral:rRNA from 1 species